rnacentral:lncRNA from 1 species
UGGGCCCCGUGUGUGUGUGUGUGCCCCAUAGAUCUGUGGGGCUGGGCCCCGUGUGUGUGUGUGCCCCAUACAUCUGUGGGGCUGGGCCCCGUGUGUGUGUGUGUGCCCCAUAGAUCUGUGGGGCUGGGCCCCAUGUGUGUGUGUGUGCGCCCCAUAGAUCUGUGGGGCUGGGCCCCAUGUGUGUGUGUGUGCCCCAUAGAUCUGUGGGGCUGGGCCCCGUGUGUGUGUGUGUGCCCCAUAGCAGUGCGUGCCCCAUAGCUGUGUGUGUGCCCCAUAGCUGUGUGUGCGUGUCCCAUAGCAGUGUGUGUGUGCCCCAUAGCUGUGCACGCCCCAUAGCAGUGUGCGUGCCCCAUAGCUGUGUGUGUGUGCCCCGUAGCAGUGCAUGCCCCAUAACUGUGUGCGCGCCCCAUAGCUGUGUGUGCCCCAUAACUGUGUGCGCGCCCCAUAGCUGUGUGUGCCCCAUAGCUGUGUGUGCCCCAUAGCUGUGUGUGCCCCAUAGCUGUGUGUGUGUGCCCCAUAGCUGUGCGUGCCCCAUAGCUGUGCGUGCCCCAUAGCUGUGUGUGCCCCAUAGCUGUGCGUGCCCCAUAGCUGUUUGUGCCCCAUAGCUGUGUGUGCGUGCCCCAUAGCAGUGUGUGCGCCCCAUAGCAGUGCGUGCCCCAUAGCUGUGUGUGCCCCAUAGCUGUGUGUGCCCCAUAGCUGUGUGUGCGUGCCCCAUAGCUGUGUGUGCCCCAUAGCUGUGUGUGCGUGCCCCAUAGCAGUGCGUGCCCCAUAGCUGUGUAUGUGCCCCAUAGCUGUGUGUGCGUGCCCCAUAGCUGUGUGCGCCCCAUAGCUGUGUGUGCGUGCCCCAUAGCUGUGUGUGUGUGCCCCAUAGCUGUGUGUGCCCCAUCGCUGUGUGCGCGCCCCCCGUGUCUGCCCGCCCCACACGUUGUGUUUGUGGCGCCCCCUGUCGGUGCGUGCAGGCGGUGCGGGCGCUGCUGGCGGUGUUCGUGGAGCAGCCGACCCCGUUCCUGGAGCUGUUCCUGCAGCGGCUGCUGCGCCUGGAGCUGCCCGGGGACAAAGUGCGGCUCUUCAUCCACAACCGCGUCAGUGCCUGCCCCACGGCUGCCCCAUA